CAAUUCCGUGAUAUGUCGUCUUUGCAAAAUGGAGAUGGCCUUCCAUUCUAGCACCACGGCAAUGCACCAGCACCUGAAGAGGCGCCACCCGGGAGCAGCUGCAGAUGACAGAGCACCAUGUAUUCUAUAGUUGUUUUUACUGAAAAGAAUGAGACAGAGGUAAUACCAAGUGACUGGCUGAGCAUCGACAAAAAAAUUUCCUUUUGGCCCCCAUAUAACGCUACAAAAUGUAGAAAAGCGGUGGAAAAAAAUGAAACUCCUGAUGAAGAAUGGGACGAAUAUACAACUGAAUGGGUGGCUGAGUAUGAUUCCUAUGAAAAAGCCAGAAGAAAGCUGGUGAAAUUUUGUAAAGGCAACAGUUUGGAGUCUACAGAUGAGGACAGUGUACGGAAAA